UACGUAGGGUGCAAGCGUUGUCCGGAAUUAUUGGGCGUAAAGGGCUCGUAGGCGGUCUGUCGCGUCGGAUGUGAAAACCCAGGGCUCAACCCUGGGCCUGCAUUCGAUACGGGCAGACUAGAGUUCGGUAGGGGAGACUGGAAUUCCUGGUGUAGCGGUGAAAUGCGCAGAUAUCAGGAGGAACACCGGUGGCGAAGGCGGGUCUCUGGGCCGAAACUGACGCUGAGGAGCGAAAGCGUGGGGAGCAAACAGG
rnacentral:rRNA from 1 species